rnacentral:lncRNA from 1 species
UCCUCCUUCUGGAGUGCCUCUUGGAGACUUGUGACUUCGGCGACCUUCUCCUUAAGACAGGCAGCCUCAGCCUGGCGACCUUCCUCUGCCUAGGCUGCUUCCUUCUUGGCAUUGUUCAUUGCCUCAAUGUUGGCGAUGAGCUGGUGUCCAAUUUGCAAGAGUGGCCAGGAAGUCAAUAUGAAAGCUAAGGAAUGAACUAAGUGAAGAAGCGAAAUGAAGAAAAAAGCAAAUCGGCCUACCUCAAGAAAGGACCCCAGAGAGUCCCAAACCCGCUGUUCAGGAUCGGCCUAGAC